CAGGAGCAUCAGGUAUGCAGAGGGUUUGAUCCUGGCUCCAGAUUGAACGCUGGCGGGAUGCUACACAUGCAAGUCGAACGGCAGCACGGACUUCGGUCUGGUGGCGAGUGGCGAACAGGUGAGUAAUGUAUCGGAACGUGCCUAGUAGCGGGGGAUAACUACGCGAAAGCGUAGCUAAUACCACAUACGCCCUUCGAGGGGAAAGCGGGGGACCUUCGGGCCUCGCACUAUUAGAGCGGCCGAUAUCGGAUUAGCUAGUUGGUGGGGUAACGGCUCACCAAGGCGACGAUCGUAGCUGGUUUGAAGACGACCAGCCACACUGGGACACGAGACACGGCCCAGACUCCUACGGGAGGCAGCAGUGGGGAAUUUUGGACAAUGGGGGAAACCCUGAUCCAGCCAUCCCGCGUGUGCGAUGAAGGCCUUCGGGUUGUAAAGCACUUUUGGCAGGAAAGAAACGGCACGGGAUAAUACCCCGUGCAACUGUACCUGCAGAAUAAGCACCGGCUAACUACGUGCCAGCAGCCGCGGUAAUACGUAGGGUGCAAGCGUUAAUCGGAAUUACUGGGCGUAAAGCGUGCGCAGGCGGUUCGGAAGAAAGAUGUGAAAUCCGGAGCUUAACUUUGGAACUGCAUUUUUAACUACCGAGCUAGAGUGUGUCAGAGGGAGGUGGAAUUCCACGUGUAGCAGUGAAAUGCGUAGAUAUGCGGAGGAGCACCGAUGGCGGGCAGCCUCCUGGGAUAACACUGACGCCCAUGCACGAAAGCGUGGGGAGCAAACAGGAUUGGAUACCUGGUAGUCCACGCCCUAAACGAUGUCAACUAGCUGUUGGGGCCUUCGGGCCUUGGUAGCGCAGCUAACGCGUGAGUUGACCGCCUGGGGAGUACAGUCACUUAAGAUUAAAACUCAAAGGAAUUGACGGGACACACAAGCGGUGGAUGAUGUGGAUUAAUUCGAUGCAACGCGAAAAACCUUACCUACCCUUGACAUGUCUGGAAUCCCGAAGAGAUUUGGGAGUGCUCGCAAGAGAACCGGAACACAGGUGCUGCAUAGCGGCUGUCGUCAGCUCGUGUCGUGAGAUGUUGGGUUAAGUCCCGCAACGAGCGCAACCCUUGUCAUUAGUUGCUACGAAGGGCACUCUAAUGAGACUGCCGGUGACAAACCGGAGAAGGUGGGGAUGACGUCAAGUCCUCAUGGCCCUUAUGGGUAGGGCUUCACACGUCAUACAAUGGUCGGGACAGAGGUGCGCCAACCCGCAGAGGCAAUCCCAGAAACCCGAUCGUAGUCCGGAUCGUAGUCUGCAACUCGACUGCGUGAAGUCGGAAUCGCUAGCAAUCGCGGAUCGGCAUGUCGCGGUGAAUACGUUCCGGGUCUUGUACACACCGCCCGUCACACCAUGGGAGUGGGUUUUACCGGAAGUAGUUAGCCUAACCGUAAGGAGGCGAUUACCACGGUAGGAUUCAUGACUGGGGUGAAGUCGUAACAAGGUAG
rnacentral:rRNA from 1 species